GGAUGCGAUCAUACCAGCACUAAUGCACCGGAUCCCAUCAGAACUCCGCAGUUAAGCGUGCUUGGGCGAGAGUAGUACUAGGAUGGGU
rnacentral:rRNA from 1 species